CCACUCAAACUCGAAAUUAAUAUAUUUUAGUGAACACCUAAAUGAACUUUGACAGAAAAAAACACCUAAAUGAACAAUAUACUUUAAAUAAAACAGAUAAUGUAGAUAAGUAAUCAUUUAUGAUUAGUAUCUGCAAAAUUCAAUGUAUAAUGUUGUCAACAUACUACACCUUAAUUAUGGUGAUCUAUAUAUGAGCAGUAUUGCAGCUUCACCGAACAACAAAAACUUACUAGUUCUUGUGUAUUGCAGAACUAAAAGAGAACAAAUCAAUGGCAGCUAACACUUCAUUGAAGCUAGCUUUCGUCGUUGCUCUACUAAUCGUCGGAUGUUAUGGGCAUAUGAUGGCUGAUGAUUAUAAGAACAGAUUGGGACCUGUAAUUUCUUUCCGUUGCAGAAAAAAUUCUGAUUGUAAAGGUAAAAACAAAUGCUGAAAAUUUCAAAUGUAUUUGCACUCUUAAUGAUCCA